rnacentral:miRNA from 1 species
AGUGGGGCUUCGACCCUAACC